AUGAAGAAAUAUCACAAUACUAAGAAUAAUGGUUGCGCAAAUUUUGUCGGGGAAGAUCAAAGAAACUUCACAAUAUUACAAUCUUUGCUUAAUCACAAUCUGGUUGGGGAAGGAAUUAAACUCAACUUGAGAAGUCUGAAUCAAGACUUAAUUGGGGAAUAUAGGAUUACAUACCCAACACCACAUAACAACUUGGAGGAAACCCGAUUAUUCGGAUGA